AUUGAACGCUGGCGGCAGGCUUAACACAUGCAAGUCGAGCGGGGUGAUGGUGCUUGCACUAUCACUUAGCGGCGGACGGGUGAGUAAUGCUUAGGAAUCUGCCUAUUAGUGGGGGACAACAUCUCGAAAGGGAUGCUAAUACCGCAUACGUCCUACGGGAGAAAGCAGGGGAUCACUUGUGACCUUGUGCUAAUAGAUGAGCCUAAGUCGGAUUAGCUAGUUGGUGGGGUAAAGGCCUACCAAGGCGACGAUCUGUAGCGGGUCUGAGAGGAUGAUCCGCCACACGGGGACUGAGACACGGCCCAGACUCCUACGGGAGGCAGCAGUGUGGAAUAUUGGACAAUGGGGGGAACCCUGAUCCAGCCAUGCCGCGUGUGUGAAGAAGGCCUUAUGGUUGUAAAGCACUUUAAGCGAGGAGGAGGCUCUUGGUUAAUACCCAAGAUGAGUGGACGUUACUCGCAGAAUAAGCACCGGCUAACUCUGUGCCAGCAGCCGCGGUAA
rnacentral:rRNA from 1 species